rnacentral:tRNA from 1 species
GCGCCCGUAGUCCAGCCUGGAUAAGAUAGAGGCCUCCGGAGCCCCAGACCCGGGUUCAAAUCCCGGCGGGCGCG